AGGACGAACGCUGGCGGCGUGCUUAACACAUGCAAGUCGAGCGGAAAGGCCCUUCGGGGUACUCGAGCGGCGAACGGGUGAGUAACACGUGAGUAAUCUGCCCCUAGCUCUGGGAUAGCUCCGGGAAACCGGGAUUAAUACCGGAUACGACCACCUUAGACAUCUUUUGUGGUGGAAAGAAUUUCGGCUAGGGUAUGAGCUCGCGGCCUAUCAGCUUGUUGGUGGGGUAACGCCUACCAAGGCGACGACGGGUA
rnacentral:rRNA from 1 species